rnacentral:SRP_RNA from 1 species
CAUUGGUCCCCUCGCAACGAUAAAUUGUGAACCCCGUCAGGCCCGGAAGGGAGCAGCGGCAGCAAUGGAUUCGUGUGCCGGGGUGUGGCUGGUGCGG